GUCAACCCCAGAGCACUGGCCACUUUGGGAAAAUGGACAUCUCCUCUCCUCUGGCUGAAGGAAAGUAAGAAGACACGGUGUUGCCCCAGGCUAUGUAGCCCACAACAAUUUUCCAUCCAAAUGCAUGAGCCCGGGUUCCCGAUGAAGACUUGGCUUCUCCUGAGCCCGGGGGUCCUGGCUGCUCUGGUGCCAACCCCUGGGUGUCUUUGAGCUGCAGAGGGCUUGCCACGUGCAUCCUCCUCCCUCUGCCUGAGCCACGAAGACCAGGCUGGACUAUGUUCCACAAAGACUUUUUCCCCUCAGGGGUCUCCUCCCAACAACACUUAACCAAGCUUUGUAUUCAACAAGGAACACAUUCCGCCUCCACCAAACCUCAUUGAAAACAGAGAGGUGCAUGGAUAACCAUGGCCAAAUCAUAACUGGUAUGCAUGCUCAUGGUUUUCUUUGAAAAUCUAACUGUCCUUUAAAAAUCUUUCCCACAUGAAGAGCCAC
rnacentral:lncRNA from 1 species